rnacentral:rRNA from 1 species
UACGUAGGUGACAAGCGUUGUCCGGAUUUACUGGGCGUAAAGAGCGCGCAGGCGGUCGUUCAAGUCGAGUGUGAAAGCCCCCGGCUCAACUGGGGAGGGUCACUCGAUACUGAUCGACUCGAAGGCAGGAGAGGGUAGUGGAAAUUCCCGGUGUAGUGGUGAAAUGCGUAGAUAUCGGGAGGAACACCAGUGGCGAAGGCGACUACCUGGCCUGUUCUUGACGCUGAGGCGCGAAAGCUAGGGGAGCAAACGGG